rnacentral:rRNA from 1 species
AUUGAACGCUGGCGGCAUGCUUUACACAUGCAAGUCGAACGGUAUCAGGUUAAGCUGACGAGUGGCGAACGGGUGAGUAAUGCAUCGGAACGUGCCCGAUCGUGGGGGAUAACGCAGCGAAAGCUGCGCUAAUACCGCAUACGAUCUGAGGAUGGAAGCGGGGGACCGGAAGGCCUCGCGCGAUCGGAGCGGCCGAUGUCAGAUUAGGUAGUUGGUGGGGUAAAGGCCCACCAAGCCGACGAUCUGGCGCUGGUCUGAGAGGACGACCAGCCACACUGGGACUGAGACACGGCCCAGACUCCUACGGGAGGCAGCAGUGGGGAAUUUUGGACAAUGGGCGAAAGCCUGAUCCAGCAAUGCCGCGUGCAGGAAGAAGGCCUUCGGGUUGUAAACUGCUUUUGUACGGAGCGAAAAGGUCCUUUCUAAUACAAGGGGCUCAUGACGGUACCGUAAGAAUAAGCACCGGCUAACUACGUGCCAGCCGCCGCCGUAAGAC